rnacentral:snoRNA from 1 species
CUCAUUCAUGAUGAUCCAUUACGGAUGUAAAGAGUCAAAGACUCAGUGUCCGAGAGCGCAUAAACCCAUGUGGAUUCUUCCGUUGCCUUCCUUCUGACCUCAUAC